rnacentral:rRNA from 1 species
ACGCUAGCUACAGGCUUAACACAUGCAAGUCGAGGGGAAACGGCAUUGAGCGCUUGCACUCUUUGGACGUCGACCGGCGCACGGGUGAGUAACGCGUAUCCAACCUUCCCAUUACUGUGGGAUAACCUGCCGAAAGGCAGACUAAUACCGCAUAGUCUACGAUGACGGCAUCAGAUUUGAAGUAAAGAUUUAUCGGUAAUGGAUGGGGAUGCGUCUGAUUAGCUUGUUGGCGGGGUAACGGCCCACCAAGGCUACGAUCAGUAGGGGUUCUGAGAGGAAGGUCCCCCACAUUGGAACUGAGACACGGUCCAAACUCCUACGGGAGGCAGCAGUGAGGAAUAUUGGUCAAUGGGCGCGAGCCUGAACCAGCCAAGUAGCGUGCAGGAUGACGGCCCUAUGGGUUGUAAACUGCUUUUGUAUGGGGAUAAAGUCAAUCACGUGUGAUUGUUUGCAGGUACCAUACGAAUAAGGACCGGCUAAUUCCGUGCCAGCAGCCGCGGUAAUACGGAAGGUCCGGGCGUUAUCCGGAUUUAUUGGGUUUAAAGGGAGCGUAGGCCGGAGAUUAAGUGUGUUGUGAAAUGUAGACGCUCAACGUCUGACUUGCAGCGCAUACUGGUUUCCUUGAGUACGCACAACGUUGGCGGAAUUCGUCGUGUAGCGGUGAAAUGCUUAGAUAUGACGAAGAACUCCGAUUGCGAAGGCAGCUGACGGGAGCGCAACUGACGCUUAAGCUCGAAGGUGCGGGUAUCGAACAGGAUUAGAUACCCUGGUAGUCCGCACAGUAAACGAUGGAUGCCCGCUGUUGGUACCUGGUAUCAGCGGCUAAGCGAAAGCACUAAGCAUCCCACCUGGGGAGUACGCCGGCAACGGUGAAACUCAAAGGAAUUGACGGGGGCCCGCACAAGCGGAGGAACAUGUGGUUUAA